rnacentral:tRNA from 1 species
AAAAGACUAGUUAAAAUAUAACAUAAAUUUGUCAAAUUUAAGUAAUUAGAAAUUAAUGUUUUUUA